UUGUGCCGCCAAGUGCCUCCCUGCCCCCCUUCCCUCUGGAAGACAAAGUCUGGGGGCCCGACGGGCUCCGACAAGAACAGGGAAAGGUGGCAUCCUGGCACAGGGGGGUCAUGGAGGGGGGGGAGGUUUCUGGCUGUGUAGCUCUCUCAGAGGUGAGAGAAGCCACAAGGUAGGAAGAUAGAGACAGGAUAGAAGUUUUGGAUCCCACGAGGGGGAUGACGGAGUCAAAUUAGAGAUAUGGUCAGAAUGAGUCUUUAUUAAUUAUCAAUGAGCCACAGCUAAGCUCUGAUCAAAGGACCAAUUCUGUAGGCUUUUCCAGUCCUGAGAUCCAUACCACACAGGUCAGAGAGGUGAAUAGAGAAAGAUUAAAGAUGGAGCUUGGCCUCUGCAAGGACAGCCAUCAGGUAGCCCGAAAGAGAAGGAGGAGCAGAGAGCAGAGGGCAGAGAGAGAGAAGGCGGAGCCUGCUGGGCUAGAUAUAGUUUUUGAUAUGCAAAUAUACACAGUACAUAGGGAUGACCCUCAUUGGUCAAUGACAAGGCAUAGGUGUGGUUUCUCUUAACCAGGGGAGAACAAAGAAACCUGUUUUCCCGCCUAACCUGGGAGAAGCUGGGGUCGAGGGUCAGAGGCUUUCCCAGCCAUGUGCAAGACUGAGCAUGUUCAAGACUGAGCAUCUGCACAUACUGUUUUCCCCUUGCCCAUAGCCAGGAAGCGGUCUGCUACAGGCUGGAGGAGAGUCUUGGCUCCUCCCCACUGAGGCAGUCUCAGGGCAUGCUGGGAACCUCCUGUGGGCAGUCUCGGCUCCUGGAACUGAGUAGAGUUUCUGCUUCUUGGAUCUUUGUUGGGACAGAGAAGGGGCCACCAGCCCCGGAGCCUGGAGGCAGCUGGGGGAGGGGUGCAGUCACAGGAUGGGGGACGUCCAAGUCCGAACAGACCCAGGGGAGAAGCAGCCCACGCGCCCCCAGAGGAAGUCUCCCCCCCUCGGGGCUGCCACCCCCUGAAGGACCCCAGGGUGGUCCCACAGAGAGCCCGCAGCCAGAGGAAUGGCCCCCGGGACCCCGAGGCCCCCCUCCCAGGCCCGUCAGCGCCAGGGCGGCCAUCUGA
rnacentral:lncRNA from 1 species